rnacentral:lncRNA from 1 species
AUGGCAAAUGUAUGUCUUGGCUCUUAUUUCUCCUUGGAAAAAUGGAUGAAAGCAAUUCCGUCUCCUCCUUCUGUCCCCGAUCUUGUUCCCUGCUGGCACUACUCAAAGACUAGUGGCACACUAAGGGUUAGGGAUGCAGUGGGAGCAGUCCAUCUCUCUCUUUCCACAUGGAAACUGCCAGGGUUUCCAAUCAGUAUAAGGAGGCCACGGACUGAUUUGGGAGACACAUGGAGCACGGGAUUUGAAAGCUGCCAACUAUCAGAAAAGUGGACCAGGAGGAUUCGAUCCUGGAAUGGAGACAGGUGUGAGGAAAAAGAGGAGGCAAGAAGCCAAGAAGGAAAACGCUAG